GGGCUUAUUUGAGCGAUAUACAGACGAUGGAGUUUUAAUAGCUCAUUAGUUUCUAAGAUUUAAAAGUGAUAGACAGACGGACGAACAGACAAACAGCACUAAAACCAACAAUUCUUGUUGUUUGUUUUUUUUCCUUAGGGAUCGCUAAAAAAGAUGAGAAACAAGUUUUAUAUUUCGACCAGACAUAACAUAAUACACAUGAUAAGUCUUCAGAAAUCGUCGAUUUCGUUUGCUGUGAUGCUUGUUCGAUGCACAAAUGGGUUAGUAGGUCGCACGUGAAUUUCAAGGUCCAACUUUUGUGUUCAGAUGUCAGAAAGAAAGGUCAUGCGAAACGUGUUAUGCCCAAUGUCCAGAUCAAAAGUUUCAGUUCACACAAAUCCAGAUCACUUCGUCUCAAAUGUGAGCAUACAUAACUUCAACGGCUUCAAAUUCAAUGCCAGGACCACAACUUUAAGCUAAAUGUCACUUCCUAAUGUUUAGCCCUAAGCCCUAAUGUCAGUAAGUCUUUGACUCCUUGUUUAAAGAUUUCCUUAUUUCAAACUUGAAAACUAUUUGAAGACUGUUCAGAGAUGUGGUGGCUUCUACAUCUUGACACGAGGAAUUCGCUUAGAACCUUUUUGUUUCACAG
rnacentral:sRNA from 1 species